rnacentral:lncRNA from 1 species
AGAAAUCCAAUAAGAGGAGUUUUAACGAGAGGGUAACCCAUGUAGGCAACUGAGGCUCAGAUUUUUUCUGAGGACUCAUAUAGGACAUUCUUAAAACAGUGCCAAUGAGGGACUGAGAUACCAGAUUAUUUAUUCAGUGAAUCUUCUCCCAUAUUGAUUAAGGGAUGCCCUUGGAGGCAUUAAAUUCUUGUCACUUCUAGGCUGCUAUUCACCAGAACUGAGUAAAACUACCAUGGCACUGUAGAAGUCCCCAGGAAAGGAGUGGGAGAUGGAGUAUUGCGGAAUAAUGAGAGAUUUUCAAGAAAUCAGGAUUCUCUGAGGACCAGAUCUAGUUUGGUGAUGACUAAAAGGGCCAUGGACAGGAAAAGAUCAUUUAAAGAUUUCAGAAUGGUCAAGAAAACUAAAGAAAGACUGUGAACAUCUAUGCACGUUUACAAGCUGUCAAUAAACAAGCUGAAGAAUACACCAAAGGCCCAGAUGCUACUUCUGGCAAGGCAGUGAUAAUUCCUCUGUCUUCCA